rnacentral:rRNA from 1 species
UCACUGACGCUGAGGCUCGAAAGCGUGGGUAGCGAACAGGAUUAGAUACCCUGGUAGUCCACGCCGUAAACGAUGAGUGCUAGGUGUUAGGCCCUNUCCGGGGCUUAGUGCCGGAGCUAACGCAAUAAGCACUCCGCCUGGGGAGUACGACCGCAAGGUUGAAACUCAAAGGAAUUGACGGGGGCCCGCACAAGCGGUGGAGCAUGUGGUUUAAUUCGAAGCAACGCGAAGAACCUUACCAGGUCUNGACAUCCCGAUGCUAUUCUUAGAGAUAGGAAGUUACUUCGGUACAUCGGAGACAGGUGGUGCAUGGUUGUCGUCAGCUCGUGUCGUGAGAUGUUGGGUUAAGUCCCGCAACGAGCGCAACCCUUAUUGUUAGUUGCCAUCAUUAAGUUGGGCACUCUAGCGAGACUGCCGGUAAUAAACCGGAGGAAGGUGGGGAUGACGUCAAAUCAUCAUGCCCCUUAUGACCUGGGCUACACACGUGCUACAAUGGUCGGUACAACGAGUUGCGAGCCGGUGACGGCAAGCUAAUCUCUGAAAGCCGAUCUCAGUUCGGAUUGGAGGCUGC